GCUCCGGUGGCCUAGUGGUUAGAGGGUCCGCCUCGUAUGUGGGAGGUCGUGGGUUCGAUCCCUGGUUGAGUCA